rfam:Hordeum vulgare subsp. vulgare, WGS project CAJW01000000 data, contig: morex_contig_39337
UAUAUUCUCCCUCCGUCCCAAAAUUGUUGUCCUAGGUUUGCCUAGAAAUGGAUGUAUCAAAAUACUAAAACAUGACUAGAUACAUUCAUAUCUAAACUAAUCUAGAACAAGAAUUUUGGGACGGAGGGAGUACUGA